rnacentral:lncRNA from 1 species
CAGAGAGAGGCGUCUCCACCGUGCGGCGCCACGAUCGAUGCGACACAGUACACCUGAGGAGUGAACCAUACCUGCGGAGAGUAGACUCUUCUCCAAAAGCAGCCCGCCAACAUGGGGUUAUCGCCUUCUAGUCUCCUAGAUGAACAUGGAUCCAACUACAUACGAGGUUGUGCAGAGGCGGAGUUGAAAGAGUUCAGUCCCCACUACAGGACACAGUACUCUGUGGUCUUCUUCUCCCAAAUCCAGGAUGAGCUGGAGCAGCCAAAAGAGAAAAUAAAACAGCUCCUCAAACAGAGGGGUCCUCCGGAGGCGGGGGAGGUGCUGUAUGAGGAACAAGUCCUUCAUUUUGAAGCAACCAGGAAGUGGGAAGAGAGGUACGUGGUGGUGCGUGGCAACUACUGUCUGGACCCUCGUGCAGUGACUUCUUUCUUCCAGACCUUUGUGAAGGGUGUGCCCCCGCGCCACAAGCUGCUGCCAACAGGGGGCACAGUGCUUACCACAGAGGAGAAAUACAUGGCCAUGGUGGACAAAUGCUUCCCUUUUGCCCCUCCUAUAAUCGGCAUGCCUGGACAGUUCCCUGUGUACCUCAGGCUUCCGUACCGUAGGGAUUACUACUUCUGCUUCCGACAGGAUGCUCGCCAAGCUGAAUUCCUCUCCAUCCUCUCCGACUGCAUCCGCCACCAGAACCAAGACUUCCUAAAGAAGAAGACAGUUGAGGUGCAGGCCUUCCUCAAAGCAAUCCACCUCUAUAGACAGGAGAAGGGCAGCUAUGACUCCUGGAAAAUGCUGAUUGGCAGUGACGUAUUGGCCAACCUGGUUAUGGAGGAGCUGUUGCCCUCUUUGGAGAAGGACAUGCUUCCUCAUCUAAAAGCCAGGAAGACAGAGAGGAAGAGAGUGUGGUUCGCUGUGAUAGAAGCGGCCUAUUUCCUGGUGCAGGAGUGUCUAUUUAAGGGUAUGUCUGCUCUGAAGGAGGAGUGUAGGAAGGCAGCUCACCAGCAGGAGGUGCUGAUACGCUCUGAUAUGGACCAGAUCCUCAACUCCAGAACCUACCUGGAGGGAAAACUACGAGCUAGUGUAUUGGAGCCAGCAGAGAAGUUCUGUUCGGAGGGCGUGCAGCCCUACCUGGCCUCCGUACUGGAGGAGCUGAUGGGACCAAUCAGCUCAGGGUUCCAGGAAGCACGGCUCCUGAGUGACAGCCAGAUGGACCAACUGUGUCAGGACUUCCAGGAGGGCGGGGUUACCAAUGAACUCAAGCAGGCCCUAGCUAAACUGAGUAGGCCCAAUCUGUUGAGUUGUUACCAGAGGAUCAAUUCUCUCCACGACCAGCUGCACGACCUGCAGGAACGCUUUGGCUUCUCCAACAUCAGCAGCCUGGUCCACAGCACCCAGAUAGACCUACAGCAGCUGGUGGAGAAUGCAGCGUACACAUUUCAUCUGCUGCUCUACAAGGACAUAGAGGACAACCCAGGCAACGCAUGCUCUGCCAUGGAGAAGUCCAGGCACAGGGUGCUCAAGCAAUAUGACUAUGACAGCAGUACGGUGAGGAAAAGGAUCUUUCAUGAGGCCUUGGUGGGGAUCACUCUCCCUCACAUCAAGAAGACCCUGGCCCCCACUUACAAAACAGAGCUGCAGGGUCUUAAACAGUUAGUCUGUGCAGACUAUUCCAACUUUGUCCAUGUUCACAAUAUCUAUGAGGGCAUUUUGCUGCAGAUUCUGAACAAGGAAGUCAUCAAAGUGUUGGAGGAGGCAGCCAGGCUGAAGAAACACAAUCUGUUCACAGACACCAGAGACCUCCUGAGCCAGUCCAGCUGCUCCAGCCUCUUCUCCACCCCUUUCAUCCCCAGCAACCCAGCCAGGAUGCUAGGCUUCCACGGACAGCUCCAGACCCAGCCUGAGACCCCUACCUUUAUCCAGACCCACCCUGAGACCCAGCCCGAAGCCGAGGUAACAGCCCAGCCCGCCUCUCCUCUUCAGGGCAAUGGCCUGGUGGUCGGUGGGGGUGCACAAGGGUAGGGCUGUGGCAGUCAUGACAAUUUGUCAGCCGGUGAUUGUCAAGCAAAUAACUGCUGUUCUCGGUAUUUUACCGUUAAUUAACAUAAACACAUUUAGCAUCUCCCGGCCUCCACACAUAGCCUACAAGCCACUGAUGCAGACCUUUGGAACAUCUACAUUUUAAAAAGUCUAAUAAAUCCAUGUAAUAUAGCCUACA